rnacentral:snRNA from 1 species
AUACUUACUUGGCACGGAAGAUACCAUGAUCACAAGGUGGCUUUCCUAGGGGAAGUCUUAUCCAUUGCACUCCAUGUGUGCUAAGAUGACCUCUAGGAUUUCCACAAAUGCAGGAAACUUGGCUGCAUAGA